CCGGUUGGCACAUCGCUCCGUGACUCACCCCGUUGCCUUUUUAUCACAUGUGCUCACCUGCCCCCGAGUUCUGUGACACAGAGUGCUUCCUGCUGGCAGCACCGGGACACGUGUGGCCGUGGAGCCCGGGAUGGUGCCAGCGCUCAGCCGUUCUGCAGUGCUCCGAAGUGCUGUCACUGCUCGGUGCCACCAGAGCCACCAACACGCACAGUGACCUCGGGGUCACAGGGGCUGCUCACCAGGAUCCUUCCCAGAGCCGCUGCCAGUGCUGUCCCUGCCCUCAGCUCGGAGCUGCGGAGCCCGGAGGAGCCCAGCCCCGCGGCUGUGUGCUUUGCUUUAGGAAAUUCCGGGAGAAAAAUAUAUAUAUCUGCAUUUCCCUCUGGGUUCCUCACUUCUGGCUUUAUUGCAGUGGUUACCUCUCCUCUCCUCUGCUCUUUGUGCUGUGCCGUGUUUGGAUGCAGCCAGACUGGAGCAGAGGGGUGGGUGUGAGGGGAGGGCACAGGGAUGCUGGGCAGGGGUGGACGCUGGGCAGGCCUCUCCCUUCCAAUGCUGGUUAGUGCCUUUCCCUUGGAUAAAGGGAUGCUGUGGAAAAGGCUGAAAAGACUGCAGGUCCAAUUCUUGCUCCACAGGCGGCAAUGCAAACGGAAGACAAUGUUACUGCAGGCAGUACAGUUCCACGGGUGUAAAACGGGUCUGGGAGGCGGCGGAAUCGGUGCCCACCUCUGUGAACAUCUGCGUGGUAUUGACAAAGCUGUUCGUGUCACUGAACCAAUUUAACUAGGGAGCUUUUGUCAUCCACAGUACAUUAUGCUGAGAGGAGACCAAGGUGACAGGUGCAGUAAAAUAAACACUCUGAUACUAUGGUGAUGGAGACCGUAUAAAUACCUGGAUAGGAAAAAACAACAGAGCUGCGCUCCAGCAGAUCCGCACAGUAACCCCCCGUGUCUCCGCGUGUGAAGAAAGAACGAGAAGAUAUGAUCGAGAAUUCAGCUUUCCCAGAACCACUGAAUCAUGCAGCGUUCCCCGUGGCUGAUUUAUCGCUCUGUAGAUGGAAAGAGCUGAGCGCAGCUAUCCGGGCCGCUCGGAGGUGGUGUGGUGCUGAGCAGGAGCCAGCAGGAACAUUUGCGUCUGUGCUUCGGAGGAUUUUGGACAGCCUGCGGUGCCCCCCCUGGGGCCAGCAGUCCUCUUGGGCCAGCAUCCAGCGCAGAGCUGCUGCUCAGAGGUGUUCAGCCCCAGCCCCACUUUGCCACUGAUGUGCAAAGGGCACUUUGGAAGUGGAUGUCUGUGAUCCCAGGGGCCGGACGCAGAGCAGGGAGUGGAAGCUCUCUCUCCUGUUUGUGGAAGCGGCUGCACACGAACCAUCCUCCUUGGGGGGAAUGCUGAUUCCACAGCUAAGUCUCCUCUGUGCAAUAUGAUCCAUUAUGGGAUGGAGACAGCUUUGCGAUGGGAAACGGUAAUGGGCAAAGCGAGAAGUGCAGUUGGUGCCUCUGGGGGAUGGCAGAGCCGACGUCCCCGGGGCUCAUUGCUGCAGCCCCGCUCCCCGUGUGCCCGGAUGUGGCACCAGGAUGGGUGCUGGGAACGCAGCAAGGACAGCACCCGGCUCUGUGUGGUGCCACGUGUGGGGUGAGCCCCAUGCCCUGUGCAGCACAGUGAGGGCCGGGAGGUGAGCGCACACCGCCCCGCUGAAGGCUGCAGAGCUGUGCAUAUGCAGAAUAUGUAUUUUUAAUGCCUUCAAAAAUUUACAGAUCUCAUUAGGACAGCCUGAGCGGGGCGUGGAGUCAGUGCAAAUGCACCGCCUGGAAGAUGGAGUAUUCCCUCCUGUAACAGACCAACACUUUGGACCGGAGUUCUGAAAUCUGCUGCAUUUUGCUGCAGUCUUUCUUUGCAGAUCUCUCCCUCUCCAUUUCUCUCUGUCUCUCUCACACACAUUCGGUCUCUCCUCCUUUUUCCUUCCCUCUCUUUCAUCGUUCCCAUCUCAGAAGUCAGUUUCCUCCUGAAAUGCCUGACAUUUACAUCCAGCCAGAACGAGGAGUGUGCUCCUUGUGCCGGCACAUCAGCGCUGCUAUAGGGGCACAGGUCCUUUCAUUACAAAUAAUUAAUUUAACCAUACAUUGCAUAACAUCCUAAAAAGCUUUCUAGGGCAAUCUCAUGCUAGCUGGAUGCACAGCUCCUAUCAAUAUUACAUUACAUUUGGGUACAACCGUUAUGAAGUUUCAUUAAAAAUUUAAUUUGUGGUUUAAAACUGCAGCGUUCCCUACAAAGUGUGGCAGAGAAACCAUUCUGGCUGCUCGAGGUCUGCUCCUGCAUCAGCCAGGACUGCAGGAGAGCUGCAGCAGGGGCCGGGGCUCGGGGUGGCGCUCCCUGUGCUGGCACACACACCAAGAAUCGUUUUACCAUCAGCUGAGCUGUCCUACAGCAGGAACUGGGAGCCGGGAGGGGGAAUGGGGCCCGCCGUCAUGUUUUGUUAAUGAAGUUCUGUUGUGAAUCUUCGGCAGAAGCUUUGAAUGGAGGGCAGGUCUGAAGCAUCCCACAUCCGCCUCUCCGUUUCGGAAUUGAUUUGUACGGUAACUUCUGUCCCUCUCUGCAGGCACCAGAAGGACCAAUGGCUUUUCCUCCGAGAUGGUCCCUGGGCUCUUUUCUGUCCGGGAUUUCCCAGGGUAGGAGGCAGACGACUGCUGUGCAUGCAGCUCCCUGCGCCGUGGGUCUGCCCUCCCCCCCUACCCCAUCCUCCCUGCACUGAGCCAGGCACAAACCUUGGCUCCAUUUAUUAUAACAAACAGCACCGGUUGGUUUUUUCCCUGCCCAACAAAGGAGGGGACAUUUGUAACAGGCGUGGGGCAUUUCAGCAGCCUGCGCAGUCCUGGUGUGUGCUCGAGGUCUCUGCACAAGAUUGCUUCCCCCUGCUGCAGAGAGGAUAAUAAUGGGGAGUGGGUUCCUAAAUCCCUUAAGCUUCUUUGAUAGCUUCAAUAUUUAUCCAUAAUCCUGCUGGUGCUCCGUACAGAAGCAGCCAGGGCCUGGUCCCACCUUGCAGCAUUCCCUUUCCCCAGGAGGAAGGCAGGGCGGGACAGGAGGGAAACAUCAAAAGCCACAGACACUGUUGUGCCCCAGUUUCUUCCUGCGAUUACUUAUUAUUUUGCACAGUCUCUUGCUCUCCUUCUCCCACGCUCUGUGCUCUGUUAUGGUAAUGUCUGUGGAGGCUGGGCAUGCCUCCGUGCCUGAAGGGAGGACGGACAGAUGGCAGGACGGCUCUGAGGGGGUUCCAAGCACGUAUGGGGUGGGGGACGGCUUGUGGGUGUCCGCAGGUCUGUGCACACGGGUGUCCUGUGAGCCCUGAGCAGGGAGCUCUGCCUGCACGCAGGGAGGAGCUGGCAGAGAGCUCUGCUGGCGCUGGAGGGGCAGCUGCUGCCUGUGCCACAGCCACUCUGUGCUGCUGCUGGGGAUAGCUUGGAACACCUGGAUUGAAAUGCAGCAAGGCUUUCAAGGCAGGAUAGGUAAAAAUGCCAUAAUGCAGUAGGAAGUCAUUGCAUUUGCCUGCUGUGGGGCACGGCCCUUCUCUAAAGCAUAGCUUUUAGUAGGGGAGUGGAGCUCUUAUGACAUUGAAGGUUCUCUGCCGGCAAGGAUGCCAUUAGGGCUGGGUAUGCUAUUGAUUCCUCUUCCAAGAUAUAAGGCUUAAGAAGCUGCAGAUAGUGGGUGUAACUGGAAUGACCCGGGAGCUGCUGCCAGGCGGUAAGCGGAGCCGGAGGCGUCCGGCUGUGAGCAGAGCUGGAGCUUCCCAGGCUGACACUGCAGCGAGAGGCCGGAGCCCAGCGAGGCCACAGGCAGCACUGGGAUGGGCAGUGGGGACAGUGGGUGAUCUUCAGGAGGUGAAGGACUGCAGACCUCUGAGCUCCUCAGCACCCGGGGCGUGCAUGGUUCUGUUGGCGUUUCUCACAGCGCUUUGCACUUUGCUUCGAGAAUUGGAUGCCAUCCAAACUUGAGAACAUCAGCACUGCCCUGCUUUGACUCAAGUACAGUAGCAACGCUGCCAGUAUGUGGUCUGUGGGUCUGAUUGCCUUUUGCUGUUAUUUAGGAGGGCUUUUCUGCAUGGCACACGCAAAAUAAGUGACACUGCAAACCUAGACUACGCUAGCUGCACUGCAUUGCUUCCAAGGACAGAAGCUCUUGGCAUGGUCCUUGGAAGCGGAGUGAGCUUCUCAUGCUUGCCACAUCCUGACUGCUCAAUCAGCAGUUUAAUGGGAAGUCAUUAGUGUACUAUAAAUUCAUACAUUAGAUUUAUGUAGUGCUUAUUUUACCACGUAGAGACGCCUUUGCUUUCCAGCUGUAUGGACGUUCCCCUGUGUAAAUGAGAAGAUCGUGUAUAUAUUCAUCCUGCUUCCAUUAAUUAUAAUAAGUCGAGUCACAUUAUUUCUUAGAAGCCUGCUGGAAUCUCAGCAGUGCCACAGCAGCCAUCAAACCCACCGAAACCUGCAAAAUCAGUGCUGAGUGUUGUGUCACUCUGUAUUGGGAGCUUGGGUUUGAAAUAUCCUGGGAAUAAGGAAAAGGUUUCAAGUGGUUUGUUUUGAGGGAAUGGUAAAAAAAAAAGGAACUGUAGAAUCGUGCUCCUUCCAUGGAUGAUUACAUCUCUCAUGCGUAGGAAGAGGUUUUUGUUUUUUGCCAAGGGUAAGGACGUUACUGGGGAACACUACGUGGACCAGCCUGGGCUGCGUGCUCCGCUCAGGGUUUGUUUGGUUGGAUCCAGGUCUCUUGGCUGUUGCCUCCUCUUUGCUCAUCGUAAAACCAAACCUUUGUGGUUCUGACUGAAGCAGUCUGUGUGUUGUUGUGCCGGAUAUUUCACAAGGCUGUUCCAAUUGCCGAACUCGGGAAGAAGGCAGAGUAAGAGAACUUCCCAGCAACAUCCUGUGAAAUGCUGAAUUACUUCUAAUUAAGCAGUUCCGUUCUGGUUAAAGGGAAUGUCAAGUCAGGUCUGUGCUCUGUGGAGAGGUGCACCUGCAGAAAGGUGUAUCAGCAAAUGGAUGUUCGGUUGGAGUGCUUUAACAGGCUCAGAAGGAGCCAGCAGAACUCUCGGCUUCUAUUUCUGGUGCACUGGGGUUGUUCUGUCGCUGAGUCAGAGCUGAUAGGAUCUGCUGAUAGCAGCUACAGAGUGGUUAAGGAAACGUUUCUGCUCUUAAGAAUGAGAAAACCAGUGACUGUCUGCUGAGGUUACAUCUAUCAUGUGUUUUUAAACACACAUAGCCCGAUAACCCAGCAAAUUACCCACCCUGCAAAGAGACAAAGAGAGAUAGUGAUAACAAACAAGCUCACAUUUAUGUAACGCCUUUCACGGAGAUGGAUAGAGAAGUGCUUUGAGAACUCUAUUAACGCAUUCUACAAACUAUCUAAUCUAUUGUAUCCCCACACGUAUUGAGCACAGCUUCGCUCAGGCUUUAUGAGAAAAAUAUCUCCAUUAAGCAACCAGUUUUUGUCGGUCUGCAGAGUGGUCAAUUCAGCCUCUGCAGUGGGCGCAGGAAGGCAGAAAUCUUUACGUUUGGCAGUGACCCGAAGCCACCUUUGGGCUGAAAUGCAGCUGUUUCUUCACAGUCCAAAUUACUUCCACCUUCUUUGCUACCUCUUAUCCAAGAAUGUCAAACGCACACAUUAACUAAACUCUACUGCUGCUGAUUCUUCAAGAAAUGCCCUUUUGUAGCUCAGUGGUGGCACAGAGAAAAGAUGGAACCUGCAGUUUUUCUGCUUCUUGUCACUGCCUCACCUCUUCUCUCUCUCCCCUUUUCUCAGUGAAAUAUUUCCCCUGAUGACAAACCACUGCUUCCACUGAAAG
ensembl:lncRNA